UUUCAUUUUCAUCCGAAAUAUCAGGUGGUGUGUUUUAGAAUUUAGUAAUAAAAAAACCGUUUCAUUUUGAUUCAAUCUCAAAACUAGCGAUUGGUUUGACUGUGUAAUGGAGCUAUAAAUGGAAUUCAGGCAAAGAGGUGGUUAAUAGAAGAAAUUAUCUUCAAAUUAUCCUUUGGGGGCGGAUGUAAGUUUGUAAGCAGUGAAUGAAGCAUCGGCGGGCAAACAGCAGCAUCCAAGUGUUAUCUGAUACAUCCUAACACGAAUUCUGGUUUUACACCAAAUUAUGAGGUAAGUAUUCUAUGGGUGUUUCGCAUUUUUAUAUUUAAUCAAUACAUUUCUUCCUGAGGAUUGGUAGUCUUUGAAUCCAUAUCAGUCUAAUGCUUUAGUAAAAACAACCACCAAUGCAUCAUCAUCUUUGUUUUUACAAUCACCAAACUUAAAAAAGAUGGUAGCGCUACACGUUAGGUGUAAGCAAAUCGGUACGCGCUCGGUGACCUACAAAACUUAUAAACUAAACCAGACAAAACUUUCAAAAAAUCAAUUCUCUGUUCGAUUUCCAGUUGAGUGUACUUUGAAAAAAUCAGACAUCAUUUCGCGCGCUUCAGUUUUAAAGAGGAAUCAUGUUGGUUUUCUUCGUAUAUGGCAGAGGUCAUCAUGUUCAAAUUUUAGAGAUACGUACAAUUAUAACACCAGAAAACUACAUCCAAACGCGUCAAAACUUUAGCUACAUCCAAGUAUCCAACUCCUGAUAAUUCGCUAUGCAAUAUUCAAACGUGUCGAUAUUUUAGGUUUCCUCUUCAAGAGGUAUGAAAAUAUCUGUUUAAUUUGGAUGUAAAAUAUAACCUCUAUAAAAAAACCAUGUCAUUCAAGAAGAAACAUUCAGAAACCAAAACUAGUUACUACUUACGCCUUACGACCAACAAAUCCAUAACCAAAAACCAUAGACAAGAAACCAAGACUUUUUAACUAACUAAGAGUAACAAGCUCAUUUCAACUUUAAGGUGCAUUCUUUACAUUCCAAAUACCCGGGGGGUGUAUAAAUCGCCCGAAGUGGGCGUUUGGAACAUAUAGUCACCAUAAUCCGACAACAAACUGUCAAACCCAUAUUUUUGUACCUCACCUCUAGUACCACCCUGUUGUUGAACUUGAACCUCCUGCAACGGGUUAUGCUGCUGAAACCCACCACCUUCAAAUUUCGGCUGUUGCGUAAACAAAGACGGUGUAGAGUUGUAGCUCUGGUGAUGUAGAUCCGCUAGCCCGGAAGUAAGACCGCCAUACAAAUCAACCUGAGAAGGAAACUGGGGCGUUGUAUGUUGUUGCGGCUGCAACAUUGUCGGUUGAGAAAACUGAGGUACGGAUUGCUGUUGCAUAAAAAGCCACGGUUUUGUGUCCUCAUCAAACGAACUGCUCCAGGAGUUGUUCAAAAAGUUCGUUGAUAAUUUUCCGACAUCGCCGUUGAUGUUGUAUAGAUUCCCCAAAAAUGGUGAACCGUAAAGUGCGUUUGGUCCGGUCCUCAUAUAAUUUCCUAAAUAAAUAAAACAAAGCAGUGUUAGUUCGAGUUGUAAUUUGUAAAUGGAUAUCGCGAUAUACGCAUGUCCAUUUGAAGCCGCGCCUGAUUUUACUUGCCUAUCGGGACUAGGAUACGCUCAUAUCUAUAUACGAAUAUAUCCUAUAUGCAACUUGUAGCAUAAUUUGUUAAUAUGUAAUUCACAAAUUAUAGAUUGUCAAUAGCAAAUAGACACAUGGAAUAUCUUAUAUUAUAUAUACUAUAAAUAUGGCUAUUCUGUCAAUAUCAAACACCUUUAGCCCCUCAAUUUUAAUAAUAAAUAUCUUUAGACCCUCAAAUUUAAUAAUAACAUGUUUAACCCCUCAACUUUAAUAAUGACAUGUUUGGACCCUUACCUAAAACAUCUUAACCCCCUUAACUACAUCAAACAACUUUAGCCCCUUAACUAAAACAACUCCUCAACUUUAAUAAUAAACAACUUUAACCCCUAAACUUUAAUAAUGGCAUAUUUAGCCCCUUAACUGAAACAUCAAACAACUUUAACUCUUAGUGAUUUGAUUAAUUUUAUCUAUGUUUUGAACUCGCUGUGAAGCACGAAUGGUAACCCACUAGUUUUCACAAAUAGUCUAAUGCUUCCAUUCAACUGUGUAAACCCUAAUUUAGUGCAAGAGUUUGACUAUUUACCAUGCAGAAAAUACACAUCAAUAGUGUGUGUGUGUGUAUAUAUUUAUGAAAUGAACCCCACCCUAUAUAUAUAAAGAGAGUUGGAGUGCAAAGAUAUUUUGCUUACCUGAGCCAGCAGCAACAGCCUGUUCAGCUCUCAUGCAGGAGGAAAAACCAGGUGGCGGCUUUAUGGUCGCCGAAAAUCCUGGCGGUGUCGAGUUCUGUACCCUAGAUGCUAUUAUUUGAAACAAAAUACGUUAAUGUAUAUAUACACAAACACACAUGACACGUGUAUAUGUGUGUGUGAGAGAGAGAGAGACGUACCAAUGGUGCUAGUGCUUAGAUCAUUUUGCUGACCAGAAAACCGAUGUUCAUUUGCAAACGAGAAUAUGGACUGAUCAUUAUUUUGAAAGUUCCAAGAACGCGCAUCUUUCGGUUGCAGCAAUCCUGCAACCGUUUGAGGGUACGGUGAAUCAUCACCGUCUAAAUCUAUGGACAAAAUAUUGGAUAUUAUACUACUCUCCAAAGCAGCAGAAUCUUCGUCAUCAUCUACUAGAGGUGCAUCAUGAUCAAGCCGUCUCAAAUGCUCCACAAUCUCUUCAUUCGAAAACGAGUUCGCGCCUCUGUAUAUCUUAUCUGAUUUAGCUAAGCUUUGAAAUUUGUUUUCGUUGUACCCAUCGUUCAAUGUCGAAUCCGUAUAUUGCGACGGUUGUAUGUUACUGUUAUCUUCCUCAUCUACAUAACUGUUUAGAACGUAAUGAUCUGCACUAAUCUGGUUAUCAUUUUCAGUAUCAUACCAAGGAUCACUGUAGUUCUUAAAAGAGUCCUUUGACUUUUUAUCAUCAAAAGUCGGUGAAUCAACAAAUUGGUUAGGGUUUGAUGAUGUAUAUUGAACUGAAUCUGAGCGUUCAAUCUCUACAUGCUUACUAUCAGAGCACACCAUAUCUACAAAUGUUGUCGCUUCUUUUGACGGUUUGAUAGGUGCAUAACCAACAUCCUGGGCAAAAACAUCAUAAAUGAUCCUCAGCUGAAGCAUUGUGAUUAAAUUGCUCAACUACAGGUGGUGGCAACGUACUUCCGGAGCGUCUAUGCACAUAUUUGUGAUGUAGAAAAGAAGAGUGAAGGUAAGCGAUUGAAGGAGAAAUGGAAGCGAAGACCGAACUCAGGAGUACGGCAUAAAGAAAUGGAAGCCACAGGGUUUACUUUUUAUAUCUUUUGGUAAAACGAAUACCAGUACCGGCAUCUUGUUUGAACGGUAUUGAUCAGUUCAGAUCGUCACUGAUACUGGUAGUGAUAUUCAUUUAUUUACAUAGAUAAAGUUGUAUGAAAAGUUAUUAAACUGGAAAACGUAAAAUGAAUACGUGUACCGGUGUUGUUCGGUACGGUAUGAUAGUGAAAUGGUGUCAGUUUAUCAAAAACAAAACCAUUGAAAAAAAUACAUCGGUACCGAUACAGAUGUUUG
rnacentral:lncRNA from 1 species